AUGUGAAAUCCCCGGGCUCAACCUGGGAACUGCAUUCGAAACUGGCAGGCUUGAGUCUUGUAGAGGGGGGUAGAAUUCCAGGUGUAGCGGUGAAAUGCGUAGAGAUCUGGAGGAAUACCGGUGGCGAAGGCGGCCCCCUGGACAAAGACUGACGCUCAGGUGCGAAAGCGUGGGGAGCAAACAGGAUUAGAUACCCUGGUAGUCCACGCCGUAAACGAUGUCUACUUGGAGGUUGUGCCCUUGAGGCGUGGCUUCCGGAGCUAACGCGUUAAGUAGACCGCCUGGGGAGUACGGCCGCAAGGUUAAAACUCAAAUGAAUUGACGGGGGCCCGCACAAGCGGUGGAGCAUGUGGUUUAAUUCGAUGCAACGCGAAGAACCUUACCUGGUCUUGACAUCCACGGAAGUUUUCAGAGAUGAGAAUGUGCCUUCGGGAAC
rnacentral:rRNA from 1 species